rnacentral:lncRNA from 1 species
GUCCCUCUCUCCAAUCAAUGAGAUGAUAUCUUUGCCCUCUAUAUGGGGCAAGAAACCCUUUUCCAUUUGUAUAGCCAACAUCAACAAGAUAGUAAUAAAUUAAAAUGAAUAUUCCAAAACAUAUUUUAAAAAAUAUAUCAUAUAUUAAAAAGAAAUCAAUUGUUUCUAAAAACCGCAUAUUUACCAUGUGGAACUGUCAAUCCAUUUCUCUUACUAACUGCAUCUCGAAGCACUCGAGAAUCAGAGGUCGAUCCCUCCCAACCUGGAAAUACAUAAAUAAACCGCAUGUCUUGAGAACAAACUCCUAAUACAUUUGUUGCAAUUUCAUUCUUCCUUGUUCGAUAUCUAGGCUUGUCUCCCUUAGGUACAUUCACUCUAGUGUAAGUUCCAUCUAAAGCUCCUAGACAAUUCUAUUUAAAUAAAACAUUAAUAUUGCUAUAAUAUGAAUUAAUUAAACCUAUAUAAACUUAAUUUAUAAUUUAUAUACCUUAAACCAUUUCCAUUUCUCAUCUGUGGAGUUCUCAAAGACUGGUUAUGGUUUUUUGAGUAAUACUCCUUGUAGGCGAAUGACCGCAUUCAAUAUUGCAUUGAAAUGUCUACUAACAGUUUCUCCAGACCUUAAGAAUCGAAAUUUUAUAACUCGAUUCUUUACAUGAUAUGCAAGAAUAUGCAAGAAUAAUGCAACCAUUUCUUCUACAUCAACAUAUUUUGAAUCAUUUAGUUUACCAAUAGUACGAAGCAUAGAACAUAAUGUGGUGAAAAUAUGUCUAUCCAUCCUAAGUUGCUCCAUACAUGCUAUAUCACUCCCAUAAAUCAAUCGAUUAAGAUUUUCAACUUGUAAAAAUUCUCUAUUUGCAUGUCUUUCCAUCAAUGUUUGCCUCUGCUAACGUUUCCUUGUAGCCGUACAAAGUGCAGUUAGCAUAUUAAGUAUGUUCACUAUAAUAUAUAGAAUCAGGAUAAGUUUUUCUCUUCUUUCCAUCUCAACGAGGUCCAUGGUUGUGCAAGAGUCCUAAUCAUAAAGGAGGAAAAAAAAAAAGCAUUCUGUGUUUUUAAUAGGAAUAAAAAAGAUUAAAUAUUCUAUGUUUGACCUCAUUAUUAAUUUUUUAUAAGCAAAGAAAAAUUAAUAUAUGCAAAUUCAUUUGUACCAAACUAAUACUAAUUUUCAUACCUUUUAAGAAAGUUAGUAGCUUAACAGAAUAAAAAAACUAAUUUAAAUAUAAAAAGACGCUAGGUUCAAGGUAAGGAUGUGAUGCUAUAGCAAUAUCCUUCUAGUGCAAGUGGGGCACAUACAAAUAGACAAAAUUUAUCAUUACAAUACUCUUGCAUGGGAAAUCUAGCAAAAAUUAAAUUAACUUGCUGAACAUAACCAUUUGUUCUAUUGACAUUUUUGUACAUGGUUAGAAUAUGUUAAACAACUCUUGACACCCUUACACUGCAAAUGGAUCAAAACAUCAAAUACAAGAUCCACACUACCACAAAUUUUAACUGCCAUGAGUUGACAAUUUUCUUGUAAGAAUUUUUUAUUUUUUAAACAUAAAUAAAAUUAGAAUCUUUCGCUUUAUGAUGCUUUAGUUUUUCAAAAGUUAAGUUCAAAUUGUCUUCAUCAAUUCAAAGAAACAAAAACUAUAAAUCUCAUGAACACAAGACAUGCAUUGUUGCAAAUUUUAUAUUUUCUUCAAACUUCCCUCCAUUUUCUCGGCACCCAAAUAGGGGAUUAGGCAAUAUUCUCCUAUUCCCGUCAGUUCAAUGAAACAAAAACUUUCAACAUCACAAAUAAAAACACCCAAGAAUAAAAUUUUAGUUUUUCUUCUAAAUUUCAACCAUUUUCUGGACAACCAAAUGGAGAAUUAGGCCAUAUUCUCCUUUCUCUUAUCAUAUGGCAAUCACAAAACACUUGAGAUUGAAAAUUUUAACUUUCGUUUAUUCACUUUUUCCUUAUCCUCCUAAGUCCUUUCGGCAUGCAAUGAAGCUUUAGUCAAUAUUCUCAUGUAUGAACAAAAAUUUCCAAUAUCAUAAACACGUGAAAUCCAAAAGUUUUGUUUAUGUUUGUUUUUUUCUUUUUCUUUUUUUCUUAACCAUUUCAAUUUUCCUCUCCAGUCUCCAUUCAUGUAUGAAACAAAAAUUUUCAAUAUCGCAAACAUGUGAAAUUGAAAAAUCUUUUUCCAACCAUUUCAAUUUUCCUCUCUAGUUUCCAUUAAUACAAGAUAAAGAAACAUCAAAUACAAGAUCCACAAAUACAAGAUUCCAAACAUAAAUCAAUAAAAAAAAAACAAUCGAUUUAUAGAGAAGAAGAAAGACAAAUAAAGAAGUAGAAGAAGAAAGAGAGAAGAAGGUAAACUUGAUCAGAGAUGUAGAAGGGAGUUUUCAGAACCUGGUUGUAGCGAACAAUGAUGAAUCUUGGAUCCAACAAUCAAAAUGAACAUCCCAAACCUUAGAAAUUAGAAAUUGAAUUUUUUUUCCUAAAUGUCGUGGAAAGUUUGACUGAUUCAAUUUGGGAGAAUCACAUGUUGCAGAGAAGUGGAUGAUGAAUGGGUCUCUAGUUUUGCAAAGAAGAUAUAAGCAUCGGGCUUGAAUAAUGAGAUAAGAUGGUAAAAUAGUAAAUUUAGGUUAUUUUAUAUUAUCAAAUGGGUUCAAUGAAUCAUAAUACCACCUACUUUUGAUGAAUUCAAAUCCGACUUAUAAGUUGGAUUUGAUUUUUGUCUGAAUAAUUUUUUAUUCCAUUUCUGCAUUCUUAACAUUUAUCCAAAUAUAGGAAUAAGGGAGAAAAGGAAUUAGAUGUCUAUUCUCACUCUCUAUUCCCGUGUACUAAACACUCCCUAAUAGUGAGUUUUUAGACACGAAAGGAAUUGGUGAUCUUGUACAAAAAUUGUUGAGACAAGAAAACACAUUUUGCAUCUACUAGUUUAUGUGUUUCUUAUAUUUGCUUUAAUCCUAUCUAUUGCAACUACAAUCAAGGAGUGAAUGUUUUCUGCAAUGAAUGUUGUGAAGAAUUGAUUGUGAAAUCGAAUAGGAGAUCAAUGGAUGAAUGAUAACUUGCUUCUAUAUGUAGAGACAAAUAUAUUUGAUAACAUUGAUAAUGAAACUAUUAUGCAACACUUUCAAAAUAUAAAAACUCAUGGAGGAUAGUUGGAAAAUAUUUUCAAUAGAAAUGUUAUCAAUCAAUAUAAUUUUUUUGUAUUUAUAAUUUAUUAAAUAUUAUUUUUAUUAGAUAUUAAAUAUUGCUUCUCUUAAAGUAAAAUGUUGGCUCCAUCACUAUCCAUGGCUUUUCAUAUAUUCCAAUUAAUCAAUCUCUCUCUUAAUUCAGUAGUGUUGCAUUUAAAGUCAUUCCAUUCAAAAUUUAGUGUGAGUUGCAAGUGUGUAGUGUAUAAAGCAUUGUUUGAUUCGUAGUUUCUCAUGAUUUCAAGUGCUGCUAUCAUAAGAAAGUAAUAGCUCUAUUUUGGGAGAUGAUUGCUACUAAAUCAUAAGCACUUGAGUAGGGUAAAUUUGUCUUAAAGACAUUAAGUCAAACUUUAACCUCAGUUAACCUUAUUUGUGAGUUUAAUUUCCAUUUGCUUUAUUUAUUUAUACACUUAUUAGUCCAUAUAUUUUUUAUAAAUAAAUUAUACAAUAUAAAAAUAAACAACUUAAAACUUAACAACAUGUAGAUACUAAUAAAAAAAAAAAUAAAACAAUCUAAACACUUAACUCUAUUUAGAUUUAAGUCAAAUCAUGAUUUAUUUAGAUUUAAGUCAAAUAAUGAUUUUUUUUAGAUUUCAAUAAUAAUAAAAAAACUACUUUAAUGUCUUGAGUUGGUACUAACCAAAUUAUAAAAUAAAUUUCCAUAUUUUCAAUUGAAAAUUUUACUUGAUUAUCUAAUCUUGAAGAAAAGGUUUCUAAAAAUCUUAUAUUUUAGACAUACUAUUAGUAGUGUUAUGUAUAAGCAAAGACUCUUUUUUGGAACAAAAAAAUAUAAAAAUAAAAUAAAAUAAGUCAAUAUUAAGAUUUUAGACCAUUGUCUAAUUUCCUUUUCAAGAUGCUUGUCUUUAGGAUUAGAAUAUAAGACCUUGGUAUAGUUCCAUUCGAGACUACGAGCUAUGAUCGACUUGACUAUUAAAAAGCAAGAUUCACCAAAAGAGAUUUUCAUCUUACGUCGAGCUAACAUUAUUAACUUAUAAAGACUUUUUCAACCAAUAAGGUGGUUCUCUUUUUUAAAAGGAUGAUAAUUUCCAAUAUGCUUAAAAUAAAGUUUGUGUUUGAGCAUAAAGAUUCUUUAAUAUCAACUUUAAGGUUUUCAGGACAUUUCAAAUACUUUAAAUAUUUUGGCUAUGUUUGGUUGACGGGAUAAGAUAAGAUAAAAUAUGUAUAUCUUAAGAUGUCAUAUCUCAUUUGAUAAGAAAUGCAUAUCCUAAGAUAUGAUAUCCUUGAAUAUUAUAUUCAAUGAAUAUGAUAUUUUAAGGUAACAUAUCUAACAAGAUAUGCUAUGUUAUAUUUAGUUUGUAAAAUGAAUAAUAUAUAUAUAUAUAUAUAUUUCAAUGUUUAAAAUAAAAAUUAUAUUGCAUCAUAAUUUCUAUAUUUAAAAAAAUAUGAAAUUUCUCUUCCGUUUAACAAUAUUCAUGAUGAAAACAUUUAAACUUUAUAAAUAAUUUUUUUAUAUUAUGCUAUUCAAUGUAUAAAAUUAAUUUAUAUAUAUGUAUUAAAUAAUGCAUAUAUUAAUAUUAUUUUAUAAUAUAUUUUAUACAUAUUUUUUCGUUUUUCUUUUUAAUUACAAAUUUAAUUUAUAAUAAAAAAAUUAUUUUGAAAAAUAAAUAAUAUAAAAAAUAAAAAUUGAUUGAAAAACAAAUUUUGUGAUACAUGAUAUAUGUAUAUUCUAUAUCUUACUUUAUUAACAUAUCUUAUGUAAAAUAGAUAUAAAAAAGAAAGUUCAUAAUAUAUCUCAUCGCUUAUCUUAUCUUAUAUUUGGAUGAACAUAUGAUAUAUUAAGUGAUGAGAUAACUUAUCACAUCCCAUCACCAAUCAUAGAUGAGAUACAAUAUGUUAUCCUUUCUUUUGGAAAUAGUAAUUCAAUCUUCAAACUGAAGAGCAAGCAUAAUUUUCACAAGAUAUCAAAAUGCCAUGGACAUAAAUCUUAAAAAUUGUAGUAGCCAUACUAAUUACUCAACUUAGCUUGAAGGCAUAAUUUUCUGGGUAACAACAAACAACAUGUGUAUUUGCGGUAUCCAUAGCCAUGAAUUGGAACUCAUUUCAGCCAAAUCAUAAAUGAAGUGUAAGACACAAUAGAUUAUUAGCUGAUUUAAUAAAAAUUAAAAUGGAUAAUUAAUAAUUAAUAAUUAAUAAUUAUUUAUAUGGAGCAAAUUGUUCUCAUGAUUUGUUUCCUUUUUUUUUUUUUCACACUAAAUCCAAAAUUCAAAAGGGUGACCCACUUCUCUCACUCGGCCAUCAAGGAGCCAUUUUCUGAAGUUUCCUUCCAGACGAGAGAAUCCCUAAAAAGGCCCUAUUUUCCUCUACCACUCUCAAUCCUCGCAGGUACUAAUCUAAUCACUUUAUUAACUGUUUUUUUUUUAAACCCUCGUUUGAUUCCCAAGAAAAUCCAUUCCCCAUUUGAUUUCCGGGAAAAUUCAUCCUCGUUUGAUUUCCGAGAAAAUCCUUGCAAAACCCCCAAGGAAAACAAAAAAAAUUGUUUUUUUUUUUUUCCCUCCCUGUGUUUUAUGGAUCUAUUCAUAUGGGCCUCCUAAAACACAACUUCCCUAAAGAAAUUUAUAACCUAUUUGUUUCCAAAUGUGCACCACUCAAAACCUAAAUCGAAUCAUAAUACCUGGAUUCCAAAAAUGCUGUAACCCUACAUAAUCUCCCCUCCAUCAAUGUGAAAAUAAACCAACACAAAUAAUCCAUAAAUAAAUCAACACAAAAAAUACAUCAACAAAAACAGAAAACGAGGGAGAGAAACAUGAUUCAAAUGACUAGUCAAAAAGAUAAUCACCUGAUGAUGGUGAUGAAGAUAGAGAUUUGGAUUUGGAUCUGUAGACAGAGAGGAAGAGAGCAGUUACAGUUUUCCCCACAUUCUUCGAUCUACGUUGUUGACUCACGAAGAAGAGGUUAGGGUUGGUUUCUCGGGAUUCUAGAGAUUUCGGGGAUAUAUAGGAAAAUAGCAAGUUAGGCUUCAUGGGAUUUAGGUUUUUCAGAUUGAGAGGAAGACUAGGCGAAGGUUAGGGUUUCAGAAAUGGUGGGUUUUGAGAGGGAGAUGAACAGAUGGAGUAUUUGAGUUCAGUGCCGGUGGAGAGAAAGUUAAGACAGAGAGAGAAAUGUGUGAGGAGGGAUGUAUUGUUUUUUGGUUCUUUUUUUUUUUUU